AAGGGCGACUGAAGCCGGAAUAGCUCACCAUGUGAAUCUGCGGCGCCGAAUUGUGGUCUGGAGACGCUUGCGCUCGGGCCAAGUCCCUUGGAACAGGGCAGCUGAGAGGGUGAGACUCCCGUCCGCCUGGCCUUGUCGACGAGUCGAGUUGUUUGGGAUUGCAGCUCUAAGUGGGUGGUAAAUUCCAUCUAAAGCUAAAUAUUGGUGGGAGACCGAUAGCGAACAAGUACCGUGAGGGAAAGAUGCAAAGAACUUUGAAAAGAGAGUUAAAGAGUACCUGAAAUCGCUGAAACGGAAGCGAAGGAAACCAGUGGUGNUGCGUCAUAUUUCCCUGUCCGCGUGCGGGUGGGGCGCUGUGGCCAGCGUGGUCAGNCUUGGU
rnacentral:rRNA from 1 species